rnacentral:rRNA from 1 species
UACGAGGGGGGCAACUGUUGUUCGGAAUCACUGGGCGUAAAGGGAGCGUAGGCGGGCUCUUAAGUUAGGUGUUUAAUCCCGGGGCCCAACCCCGGUCGUGCACUUAAAACUGGGAGUCUUGAAUAGUGGAGAGGUCAGUGGAAUUGGGGGUGUAGCGGUGGAAUGCGUAGAGAUCCCCAAGAACACCAGUUGCGAAGGCGGCUGACUGGACACAUAUUGACGCUGAGGCUCGAAAGCAUGGGGAGCAAACAGG